rnacentral:rRNA from 1 species
CCUACGGGUGGCAGCAGUGGGGAAUAUUGGACAAUGGGCGAAAGCCUGAUCCAGCCAUGCCGCGUGUGUGAAGAAGGCCUUCGGGUUGUAAAGCACUUUCAGUGGGGGAGAAAGCCUUGGGGCUAAUACCCUCGAGGAAGGACAUCACCCACAGAAGAAGCACCGGCUAACUCCGUGCCAGCAGCCGCGGUAAUACGGAGGGUGCGAGCGUUAAUCGGAAUUACUGGGCGUAAAGCGCGCGUAGGCGGUCUGAUAAGCCGGUUGUGAAAGCCCCGGGCUCAACCUGGGAACGGCAUCCGGAACUGUCAGGCUAGAGUGCAGGAGAGGAAGGUAGAAUUCCCGGUGUAGCGGUGAAAUGCGUAGAGAUCGGGAGGAAUACCAGUGGCGAAGGCGGCCUUCUGGACUGACACUGACGCUGAGGUGCGAAAGCGUGGGUAGCAAACAGGAUUAGAUACCCUGGUAGUC